rnacentral:rRNA from 1 species
AACGAACGCUGGCGGCGUGCCUAACACACGCAAGUCGUGCGAGAAAGUUCCUUCGGGAGCGAGUAAAGCGGCGCACGGGUGAGUAACACGUAGGUAACCUGCCCCCCAGUCUGGAACAACUAGAGGAAACUCUAGCUAGUGCCGGAUGAGACCACGAUCCCUUCGGGGGUUGCGGCCAAAGAUGGCCUCUACUUGUAAGCUAUCGCUGAGGGAUGGCCUGCGGGCCAUUAGCUUGUUGGUGAGGUAACGGCUCACCAAGGCUGUGAUGGCUAGCUGGUCUGAGAGGAUGACCAGCCACACUGGGACUGAGACACGGCCCAGACUCCUACGGGAGGCAGCAGUGGGGAAUAUUGCGCAAUGGGCGAAAGCCUGACGCAGCGACGCCGCGUGGGUGAUGAAGGCCU